GUCAUUUAGAGGAAGUAAAAGUCGCAACAAGGUUUCCGUAGUUGAACCUGCGGAAGGAUCAUUAUCUVAAAGUAAACGCGGGUUAAACCGCGAACUUUUAAACCUUUGGCGAUCGACUCGUGUUGCCUCGGCGGGUUCGCCGCCAGAGGAUACAUCAAAACUCCUGUUUUAACGGUGUUGUCUGAGCUACAAAGCAACGAAUCAAAACUUUCAACAACGGAUCUCUUGGUUCUGGCAUCGAUGAAGAACGCAGCGAAAUGCGAUAAGUAGUGUGAAUUGCAGAAUUCAGUGAAUCAUCGAAUCUUUGAACGCACAUUGCGCCUCUCGGUAUCCCGAGGGGCAUGCCUGUUCGAGCGUCAUUUCACCACUCAAGCCUGGCUUGGUGUUGGGCGACGUCCCGAAGMCGCCCUCCGAAAACGCUCGGCGGCGUGGCACCGGCUUUAAGCGUAGAGAACCUUUCGCUUUGAAAGUCGGGGCCCGCUGCCGGAAGGCUACUCGUAAGGUUGACUCGGAUCAGGCAGGAUACCGCUGAACUUAA
rnacentral:rRNA from 1 species